AGCGAACGCUGGCGGCAGGCUUAACACAUGCAAGUCGAGCGGGCACUUCGGUGUCAGCGGCAGACGGGUGAGUAACACGUGGGAACGUACCCUUUGGUUCGGAAUAACGCUGGGAAACUAGCGCUAAUACCGGAUACGCCCUUUUGGGGAAAGGCCUGCUGUCGAAGGAUCGGCCCGCGUCUGAUUAGCUAGUUGGUGGGGUAAUGGCCUACCAAGGCGACGAUCAGUAGCUGGUCUGAGAGGAUGAACAGCCACACUGGGACUGAAACACGGCCCAGACUGCUACGGGAGGCAGCAGUGGGGAAUAUUGGACAAUGGGCGCAAGCCUGAUCCAGCCAUGCCGCGUGAGUGAUGAAGGCCUUAGGGUUGUAAAGCCCUUUUGUCCGGGACGAUAAUGACGGUACCGGAAGAAUAAGCCCCGGCUAACUUCGUG
rnacentral:rRNA from 1 species